UACGGGGGGGGCAAGCGUUGUUCGGAAUUACUGGGCGUAAAGGGCUCGUAGGCGGCCAACUAAGUCAGACGUGAAAUCCCUCGGCUUAACCGGGGAACUGCGUCUGAUACUGGAUGGCUUGAGUUUGGGAGAGGGAUGCGGAAUUCCGGGUGUAGCGGUGAAAUGCGCAGAUAUCCGGAGGAACACCGGUGGCGAAGGCGGCUUCCUGGACCGACACUGACGCUGAGGCGCGAAAGCUAGGGGAGCAAACGGG
rnacentral:rRNA from 1 species